rnacentral:rRNA from 1 species
CGUAGAUGAACCUGCGGAAGGAUCAUUA